GCCACCCGUAAGAAGCUCAAGACUCGGGUCAGCGAGGUUCAGCAGGAGCUCCAGGACGCGGUGAAGAAGUGCGAGGACCUGGAGCGUGAUGCGUCGGUCCGAGAGACCGAGCUUGCCAAGGCUCGUCAGAGCGCGAAGGCCGCACGGAAGGAGGCCCAGGACGCCCUCGAAAAGGUCCAGGGGGCCAAGAAGAUCGCGUCGGGGGCUUUUGCGGAUCUACCAUGCAGCGUGUCCGAUGCGGCGGAGUUCUUCCGGGCCAAAGAAGGGAGCUCCACAGAGAAGCUGUUCUGGACGCAGUACGCCGUGCCAGAACAUCCGGUGCCCUUUACUGAUCAGCUGAAGCAGCUGGUCGAGCUGCACAGGGUGGCCGAACUGGCCAUGAAGGAUUUGAUAAUUCGGUUGUGGCCAGCCGAGGCGAUACCCAGCAGUUACUUUAGCCUCGUGAAGCGGGUGGUAGAGGCCUGUCCUCGGCUAGACAUCGUCAAGCGAUCAGUUUGCAUCGAAGGUGCCCGCAUGGCCUUCUUCCGUUGCAAGAUGUGGUGGGCAAAGAUGGACGCCGUCGAGGUGGCCAGGGGGCCGCCGAAGGGCAAGGAGCACCGCACACCCGAGCGAUAUUUUGCGAAUGUCCUAGAAGGGUCUCGACAUGUAGCAGCGCAGUGCGGGCAGGACAUUGUGUUUGAAUGA
rnacentral:rRNA from 1 species